CUCGCAGGCCCCGUGCCGCGUCCCUCUGCUUCCCGCUGACCUGUCAGUCCACCUCACGGUUGGAGUCGCCGGGGGCCGAGUGGGGACCCUUGGCACCCCGUUUCGCGCCCAGGCCCGGGAGCCCGCGUGUCGGGCGGUCAGUCAGCCUUUCCGCCGCGCCAAGAGAUGCGGACCUCAUUUGGACAGUUGCUUCUCUGAGUCCUUCAAGAUUGCUGAUUUGGAGUCACUGGCGGCAUCUGUUUCUCCAGGAGGGAUCGGCAUUGAAGCGGUUGGUUAAGCCUCAGCAGGCUCUCAGUGGUUGUGGAGAUGGCACUGGGCAGAUGGAUACUCUUGGAGAAACUCAGGGUCUGGAAAACAGCAGCAUCUUCUAGUUGGUCAUUGCUCCCUGAGACAAGAGAAGAUGUGGAUAGAAGUUAGGACUUUGAUGUGAAACAGACCUUGCUUGGUUGAAAACCCAUCUCAUCCUCAGAGCUGGGCAGCCUCAGGCAAAUUACUUCAACGGUCAACCUCUUUCCCAAACUUCUCCGCAUCCCGUGCCUUCUCAAUAAAAGGGGAAUUAAAAUACAGUCUUGAAGGAUUCUCAUGUGGAUUCAGUGAGUUAAUGCAUGAAAAAUCCUUCACAUGGUGUUUAUCAGUAGCACAUGGCCUGGCUGUAGAAUUGGAUCCAGUUAAUUCUUGCCAAACUAGCUUCAAACCCAAAGACUCCAGCUCUGGCCCUUUCUCUGGCAUCAGCUAGCCCUGCAACUUUGGAUGUGCAGAAAGCACCACCUCCCUCCCCACUGAGAGCUGCUGUGAAGAUGAAAGGGGAUCCUGGAGAGGAGAGGGUUUUGCAAACCAUCCUGGGCUGUGUAAUGCUGUGGUUACCCCUCCAAGUCUGAGCUCCUACCUGCACAGUGAAGUGGAGGUUGAAGACUUCCAGGGUGCAAAGGAAAGAGGGAAGACGCCUCAGCAGACCUCAGGAGAAGGAAACCUUCUGGCCGCUUCUGCAUAUGUCCACGGUCAGUCUAAGAGAAGCAAGCUCAAGAUCUCAGACUGAUACACUGGGCGGCUGGAGCCAGUUGGAAUCACUGUCCUUCCUCUUUCUAGCCCCCUCCUUGCUGGCUGCCUCAGCAGAUGUGCAUGAAACCUUAGCCCAGCACAGGUGCACACCUGUGGGUUUGCACAAAGGAUAAAAGGCAGAAGGCUUUUCGGGGGAAGCCACACCCACACCUGCAGUCCAGGCUGUAGACCUGGGGAUGACGGAGAGAGACGUCCACCAAGAGCUCCCUUUGACCCGGACUUAUCUUAGAUUCUCUAAAUUUCCCGUCCUUGUGCUUUUGCACCUCUUAGCUUCUGAAGAAAGAAUUCAGCAGGGUACAUUGUCCUUAGUCUUUCAAGACUCAACAUUGCAUCUUUCUGCUCUCAUCACACUGGAAUGGCAGUGUGGGUACAGACUUGUGAGUUGAGAAUGAGAAUUCUGAAGGCAGUUCUGAAGACCUUUCUCCUACUGCAUUGCUACUCAGAGUUUGGUCCAUGGCCCAGGUCAGUCUGGAAACUUUGUUUUCCAUCUGUGAUGAGAAGUCGAGAAACCGAGAUGAACCAUUUUGAAACUGUCACUAAUGUGACUGAGUCAUUUUGUGUCUAGUGAAACUUAUGGUAAAACACAGAGGGCUUUCAAUUUAUACAUAUUUUUGAACUUUUUUUUAUUAGUCUUCCUUUCGUACGCUAGUCUACUUUUAUUUUGCACGUUAUUUUGUAGCAGUCACCCACAUAUUGAGAACAAAAUAUAGUCCUUGGCUACCUGCAGAUGGUUUGAGAAACACUCCUCUGAGAUAUGGCUUUGCUCUUGAGAAGUCCUAUCUGCCUGAUUUUAGUAUUUUGAAAAUAGCUUGCUUUUUCUCUCUGAAGCGUUGAUGGGUUUAUUUUCAUCCCUAGAGCUCAGAUUUCUGCUAUGAGAAGGCUUGUUGAGGGUCGUUUGUCAUCGCUCUGCUGGGCCCACAUGGGUCCUUCAUCUUGGAGAUCCAUUCACUCAUGUAUUGUAAUAAUUCCUCCCUUCUCUUUCUCGGUUCUCUUUUCUUCAGGAAUUCUUGUUGGUUGGACAUCAGUCUUUAUGUUUUGUCUGUGAAAUCUUUUACUUUGUCUCCAUAUUUUCAGUUCUUUGUUUACUUAAAUUUCCUCAACUUUAUACCCCAACUCUUUCAUUUACUUCUAUAGGCUAUAUUUAUAAUUUUGAAAGCUUGUUCUUAUCCUUUUUUAUUUUUCAUAAUAUUCUGUUCUUUUUUAUAUGCAAUACCAUUUUUAAGGAAACUGAUUAGGUUUUUUUCUUUCGUUGUCGUUGUUUUGCAAGUCUUUGCUUCCUGGAUUAUAUCUGUUUCCUCUGCCUUCCUUUUUUUCUAUUGGCUGAGCAUUGCCUCUGUAAAGAUCACGAUCGUCCCAGUUGGCCGGUUUUGCUCUUGGCUCAGUGGGUAAGGAGGCUGACAUUGGAGGAAACCAAAGCAUUGCUGUGUGCAUCUUUUAUUUAGGAUUGUUCAGUUCCAUGUCCUGUUCUCCUCCCUGGGGACAGCUGGUGGUGAGUACGGUGGCAUACAUACGAGCUACUGUACCCUGCAUGUCUGGUGGGAAAGAAAGACAGGGCUUCCGAUGUUCAGAUGCAAUUCUAUACAACCCUGCCCUUCUCCAUGGAAAUUUCAUCAAGUCUGUAGCCUCUCCAAGGUUCUGUAAGGCAAACUGGCAACAAUUUAUUGAAAUAUCACACCCACUAAUGCCACUUUUCCAUUCAAUUUGCCUGGGAGAGAAAGUAGGUAAGCAUCUGUGGUCAUAUGAUUAUUUUGAAGCAGAAGCCUACAUCCUAUACUUUCAGGUUAAUUUGUGACAGACUGAGUAUUUAUUCAUUGACUUGGUUGCUCCUUGUUGCUGGGACAUAAUUAUUGACACCCACUACUAAAAGAAAGAAAAGGUUAUGUUGGUCCACUGUUACAGUCCAGGGCUGACUGGCUCCAGGGGAGUAUCGGUGUGGGAGAGGGGCAGAGCAGAGGAAAGCUGCUUGCAUCAUAGCAUCCAGGAAUCAGAGAGAGAAGCAGGAGCCAGAAAGGGAGCUCUUCCCUUCCAGGUCAGGCCUGUAGUGUCCAGCUUCUGUGGCUGAACCUCUUCCUAACAGAACAUUUAGCUGCAGAGCCUCCAUGACUCACUUUCCAAAAGCCCCACUUAUAGCACACGAGGCAUUUGGGCGGCAUUUUCAAUACAACCUGUAACAUUCGUAUUGCAUUUCUUUUCAUUAGCUUCAGCCCACCCCAUUAGGACUCCGUAGAAGAGUGAUGAACAAGAUAGGGCUGAGGACAGAGCCCAGUGGCACAGUCCUACAGACCUCCACUGUUGGAGAUAGGCACUAUGUCUGCCUUGUAUACUGCUGCACCCUGGUGCUCAAACUUGGCUGUAUAAUAAACUUCUGUUGCAUGUGACCACCCUCUCUGAUGAGCAAGGAGACCUUUUGAGAUUUGAUCCUAGUGGACCUUGCUGGCUUUAGGGUUUACCACUUUCCUAUUGUUCAAGAAAUGCUACUACUUCAUUAACCUCUUAUUAUUUUUCUGAGAUUGGUAGUCUUGGAAUCUGCCUCCUAACCCUUUUUGAAAAGAUGAGCAUUGCCAUUUCCAUCUCCUGUCCAAGUCUCAGUUCUAACACGGAUGCUGGAGAUGCCCACCCUACCCUGGGUUGUAUUGUUUUGGGCCUGGCCCAUUCAUCUCAUCUCAAAUAGCUUAGGACUGUCUUACUAGUUCACAUCGAGUUUGAUGUCUUCUUAACCAUGUGUAUUCUAUGCUUUCUGGUUUACAGGUUAUUGUUGUUGACAGAGAAUAGAGACUACAGAAGCUAAAGGUUUUUUUGUUUUUAGUUUUUAACAUCUUAUUUUGCAAAGAUGGCCCUGGAAUCACUUGGCUAGUGGCUUCCUUAUUCUGCUUGGCUUGAACAUUGAUUUUAGGAAAGAAUGGUGCUUGGAAGAGAUUUGAUCGAGUGCCUAAAAUCUUACCACUGCAUUAAUUUGAUUUAAAUCUGUCUUCCAUCACUUUGGGUGAAAGCCAAUGUGUUCACUUGAUAGGGGAAACUGUUCUGCCAAAACAUCUUUUAAAGCUCAGGACUAGCCACACCCGGUGGAUGCAGGGAGUGCUGAGAAUGUCCAGAGCCUUUGAGUUCAGAGUUUACAGGGAGCCAGGAUUGCCACACAGGGGUAAGGGGAGGCCUAGGUGACAUCCUAUGACUCAGAAGGUCCUACAUGAAACGCGCCCCCCCCUUUGUCACAGCCUUACCUGAAACUAUAUUCUGCUUGUUCAACAUGUCACUUCCAGCCAGUCUGGUCUUUCUGGUCUUCAAACCCAUUAAGCCUAUUCUUGUUUCUGCCCUUUGAUGUGGGUUUGAUGUGGGUUCUUGACUCUGGAGAGCCUACUCUUUGUCCAGGUCUUACAUUUGCAGUUCCUUCUCCUCACUUUCAUGGGAGUUCAAAGGUGCUUGCUUGAGAGUCUUUCCUGACCAUGUGACCUAAGGGGGGUCCCACUCCCCACUACAGUAUCUAUAGUUUUAUAUCAUUUAUUUUUGUUUGUUUGUUUGUUUUUUUGGCACUGGGGACCGAACUCAGGUCCUUGAGCUUACACAGCAGGCAGCAAAACCACUGAGCUAAAUCCCUGGCUAUAUCAUUUAUUGUUACCAGAAAUUCUUUUUUUUUUUUUUAACUUGCUUACUAUGUCCUCCUCUAUCAAACAUAAACUCUAGGGAGGGACUUUGUUUUUCUACUUCUGAUUCCCAAUGUUUAUACCAGAGCCUGGCUAAGGGAUGCAGUACUGAAUAAACCAAUGA